GACGAACGCUGGCGGCGUGCCUAAUACAUGCAAGUAGAACGCACAGUUUAUACCGUAGCUUGCUACACCAUAGACUGUGAGUUGCGAACGGGUGAGUAACGCGUAGGUAACCUGCCUGGUAGCGGGGGAUAACUAUUGGAAACGAUAGCUAAUACCGCAUAAUAUUGAUUAUUGCAUGAUAAUUAAUUGAAAGGUGCAAUUGCACCACUACCAGAUGGACCUGCGUUGUAUUAGCUAGUAGGUGAGGUAACGGCUCACCUAGGCGACGAUACAUAGCCGACCUGAGAGGGUGAUCGGCCACACUGGGACUGAGACACGGCCCAGACUCCUACGGGAGGCAGCAGUAGGGAAUCUUCGGCAAUGGACGAAAGUCUGACCGAGCAACGCCGCGUGAGUGAAGAAGGUUUUCGGAUCGUAAAGCUCUGUUGUAAGAGAAGAACAGGUGUGAGAGUGGAAAGUUCACACUGUGACGGUAUCUUACCAGAAAGGGACGGCUAACUACGUG
rnacentral:rRNA from 1 species